rnacentral:lncRNA from 1 species
GCAUUCAAGUGUGAUGAGCUAUUCCAAUACUCCUUCACCAAACCCAACUCCAAAUGAUGGGAAGAAGGUCAUGCAAAUGCCUUGAGCAGCACAAAGUCUCAAAAGAGUGCCCAGGAUGAUGUGGGUGACAGAUUUCUUCUGCGUGGUGGCCAGAUUCCUCGACUUUCUGUUGAGAAGCGACCAAGCUUACUGAACAUCUGCAGUUUGGAUCUAUCCAGGACAGCAGUGGUAAACUGAUGGGACACGUGCUGAAGUGGACAUGCAGAGCCCUCUCUGUCAGCCUGCAAGCCAAGUGUGCUACGAAAGUGCUUACCGAGACUGUUCUUCAAGUGACACUGAGCACAAAAGUCGUGAGACGCC